GACGAACGCUGGCGGCGUGCUUAACACAUGCCAGUCGAACGGAAAGGCCCUGCUUUCGGGGGACGCGCGAGGGGCGAACGGGUGUGACACACGGGAGUAACGUGCUCCACUCCUUGGUAAAACUGCGGGAAACUGGGGAUAAUACGGGAUGGGCGCUCCUGCGGCAUGGGGGGGGUAGGUUUCUUUGGUUGGGUGUGGGUGCGCGGCCGAUCAGCUAGUUGGUGGGGUAGGGGCUUACUAAGGCGGGGUGGGGCAGCUGGCCUGGGGGGGUGGCCGGCCACAUUGGGACUGAGAUACGCCCCGGACCCCUACGGAGGCCAGCGGGGGGGAAUAUUGAACAAUGGGCGGAGGCCGGAGGAAGCAACGCGGCGUGGGGAAUGACGGCCUUCGGUUUGUAAACCGCUUCCGCAUGUGUCGAGGCGUGUGUGACGGUAAUGAGUAAAGAAGCACCGGCUAACUACGUG
rnacentral:rRNA from 1 species